CCCUUAGAUGUUCUGGGCUGCACGCGCGCUACACUGAAGCUAUCAACACGUUUUCCCUCCCUGAGAAGGGCGGGUAACCUUUUGAAUCAGCUUCGUGGUAGGGAUCGGGGCUUGCAAUUGUUCCCCGUGAACCAGGAAUUCCUAGUAGACGCGAAUCAUAAGCUCGCAUCGAUUAAGUCCCUGCCCUUUGUACACACCGCCCGUCGCUACUACCGAUUGAACGUUUUAGUGAGGCAUUUGGACCGACGCAUCUCAGUUUAACCGCUGGUUUGUGUUGGAAAGACUUCCAAACUUGAGCGUUUAGAGGAAGUAAAAGUCGUAACA
rnacentral:rRNA from 1 species